GCCGAAGUGGUGGAAUUGGUAGACGCGCUGCGUUCAGGGCGCAGUAUCCGCAAGGAUGUGGGGGUUCGAGUCCCCCCUUCGGCA
rnacentral:tRNA from 1 species